AGAGUUUGAUCCUGGCUCAGAUUGAACGCUGGCGGCAUGCCUUACACAUGCAAGUCGAACGGUAACGGGCCUUCGGGUGCCGACGAGUGGCGAACGGGUGAGUAAUGCAUCGGAACGUACCUUUCAGUGGGGGAUAACGUAGCGAAAGUUACGCUAAUACCGCAUAUUCUGUGAGCAGGAAAGCAGGGGAUCGCAAGACCUUGCGCUGAUUGAGCGGCCGAUGUCAGAUUAGCUAGUUGGUGAGGUAAAGGCUCACCAAAGCGACGAUCUGUAGCGGGUCUGAGAGGAUGAUCCGCCACACUGGAACUGAGACACGGUCCAGACUCCUACGGGAGGCAGCAGUGGGGAAUUUUGGACAAUGGGGGCAACCCUGAUCCAGCCAUGCCGCGUGAGUGAAGAAGGCCUUCGGGUUGUAAAGCUCUUUCGGCCGGGAAGAAAUCGCAUGGGUUAAUACCCUGUGUGGAUGACGGUACCGGAAUAAGAAGCACCGGCUAACUACGUG
rnacentral:rRNA from 1 species